rnacentral:rRNA from 1 species
AACCGGAAUAGUGGAAACGAAUGAAGUCGACGUAUCUACUGGGUAUUCAGCCGUCCGUGGCCGCAAUUGGGACGUUGUGUUGUUGCAAAACGCGCUUCGUUUCACUGUUGUGGUCGGGGCUGGUGCACUUGCCCAGGGAGUGCGCCGAGUUGUGUGGCAUCGUCGGACGAAACGCGUGUAGAGGACCGUUCGCGGAACCCUGCACGUGUGAAGUUUGGUUGGGGCUGCGCGGCUUCGUGGAGGCGUGGGUUUUUCGCGCAUGGCGGCGCCGGUUCGUCGGGUUCGCACGCUGCACAUGUGUAUCGUGCUUAUGCGGCGGGCCGGGGUUGUUGUGUGCACCGCGCUCUUCUCGGUGUAUGGUCGAUGACUCAUUCGACCCGUCUUGAAACACGGACCAAGGAGUUUACGGUAUGCGCGAGUUAUUGAGUUUGACGAAACUSAAAAGCACAAUGAAAGUGAGACUUUACUGUACUUAACGUGAUUGGGUGCGGCAUUCGUGCGGCCCAAGCAACGUUGCCCCGUUUCGAGGACUUGUCCUGUUGCGGAGGUUGAGCGUAUGCUGUGAGACCCGAAAGAUGGUGAACUAUGCCUGAACAGGACGAAGCCAGAGGAAACUCUGGUGGAAGUCCGAAGCGGUUCUGACGUGCAAAUCGAUCGUCUGAUUUUGGUAUAGGGGCGCAAGACUAAUCGRACCCWUCUAGU